rnacentral:misc_RNA from 1 species
UGGUUCUGGCAUCGAUGAAGAACGCAGCGAAAUGCGAUAAGUAAUGCGAAUUGCAGAAUUUCCGUGAGUCAUCGAAUCUUUGAACGCACAUUGCGCCCUUUGGCAUUCCGAAGGGCAUGCCUGUUCGAGCGUCAUUAUCCUCUCUCAAACCCCCGGGUUUGGUGUUGGACCACGUUGGACCGUCUCGGCCAACUGGUCUCAAAGACAAUGACGGCGUUCCUGGAACCCUCAACGCACUGAGCUUCUCGAAGCACGCGCUGAGUUUCAAGGAUCCAGGGACCCGGUCACCCAAAAUUUUUUAUCAGGUUGACCUCGGAUCAGGUAGGAAUACCCGCUGA